rnacentral:rRNA from 1 species
GACGAACGCUGGCGGCGUGCUUAACACAUGCCAGUCGAACGGAAAGGCCCUGGUUUUGUGGGGUGCUCGAGUGGCGAACGGGUGAGUAACACGUGAGUAACCUGCCCUUGACUUUGGGAUAACUUCAGGAAACUGGGGCUAAUACCGGAUAGGAGCUCCUGCUGCAUGGUGGGGGUUGGAAAGUUUCGGCGGUUGGGGAUGGACUCGCGGCUUAUCAGCUUGUUGGUGGGGUAGUGGCUUACCAAGGCUUUGACGGGUAGCCGGCCUGGGAGGGUGACCGGCCACAUUGGGACUGAGAUAGGGCCCAGACUCCUACGGGAGGCAGCAGUGGGGAAUAUUGCACAAUGGGCGGAAGCCUGAUGCAGCAACGCCGCGUGCGGGAUGACGGCCUUCGGGUUGUAAACCGCUUUCGCCUGUGACGAAGCGUGAGUGACGGUAAUGGGUAAAGAAGCACCGGCUAACUACGUG